CCAAAACUAGCACUACAGGUGUUUCAGG
rnacentral:piRNA from 1 species